CUGCAGGGCAGUGAGGAGCCUCAGGAGGAGAGGAAUGUGGGGCUGGGGGCUUGCUGCAGCUCCAACUAUGAUCAGUGCGUAAAUCUACCUGCAACACAGGAUGUUGGAAAAUUACCGAGACACAGCAAUGUCCUCCCUGCUGCUUGGUGAGAAAGGAAGGAUGCACCUUCAGGUGGCCACGGGUCUGUGUCCGCAUGAGCAGGGCCUGUGGAAGGGCUACUGUCUGCAGCUGAGACCUCGAGCAAGAGGUGAUGUAUAAAAAUAUUCGUAAGCAGGAGAAAGCCUCGGCACCAGCGUUUCUGGCUCACGAGGUGGAAGCAUCCCUCUGUGCAAGGACCUGAGCACUGGAGGUGUCAGAGAAUUGUGGGUGCUGCAUCAACCUGUGGCUCCACAAAUCCCCCCAGAACAAAUGAGUUACCUGAAAUCUCGGAGCUGUGCUUCACCUCUUGCUGUCCCAGCCAGCAACCCUGACCCCAGACAGCUGUAAAAGUGUGUCCUGGGCUUUGUGAAGCAAUGAAGCUCUGUGUCUGUGCAAGCAGCAGGAGACAUACAGGCACAGAGUCCCUCCUUUCUAAAUGACAUCCGCAGCCCUGCAUGCCUGCAAAGCCAUGCAUACACAGUGCUGUGAUGUGCACGCUGUAUUUUUUCCUAACUGUGUGCAGCCAUGCGACCUUCUCUUGGCCUUCUCCUAGGCUGCCACAGCCCCGCAUGUUACGUACAUCGCACGUGGAUAUGGGAAGGACAAACACAUGAGAAGCAUCACAGAAUGACCAACGCACCUGACUGCAGGAAGACAAAAUGUCCUUCCCAAACGCUCUGGCAUGUGCAGAGGCACUUCCAUAGUGUCUGUGUCUCAGAGCUUUCAAUGCUUAUGAUUUGUCCAAGGGCAACUUUGCAAAAUGUCAAUGUUCUUAUCAAAAUUCCCUGUGACAGGCUUCAAGUUUUAAUUAAAGGAACUUGUUGGUUUUUUUUUUUCCCCCUGAAAAAUGGAUGCUAGAUAUUUUUUCUAAGAAAGCAAAUGUUUUUUCAAGGAAAAAAAUGCCUGUCCCUGUGUUUUUGCUACUCUGCCAUGUCUUUUUGGCUAACUUGCUUUCUAAGACAACCCUGUGAGCCACUCCACGAGGAAGCUCAGUAGCCCGGUGGCCCGGUCUCGCAGGUUCGUCUGAGAGUGGCACAACCAAGACUGGCCAUGGCAGCGUGCAUGCACCACACGGUCAGGAUCCACGCGUGCAAAGACACCUACAACCCUGCACGAACAACCAACUGGCGCUGCAGAUAAAGUCAGUGACUUGCAGACCCGGUUCUGCCUACAAAUCCCUGAGACCAGUGGCAAUGCAGGCAAAGGCUGGGAGAAAUUUUGCCAUUAACCUCUGAAAACCAGGGAAUUUGUGCUUGUGAAGCAAUCAGGUUGGCGUUCUGCCCUUACUGCUGCUAAUUAAGGAUUGAUAGGACUGAAGGCAGUGGUGUAAGAGACAGCCACGACAUCCUUCUGGACUUUGAUUUGAUCUCUGCCUUUCAUGGUCUUCUCUUUUGUUCUUGCUCGUGGGUUUUAAAAGCAAGUCUUUGAUGGAAGGUGGCAAAGUCUCGCUUAAGCGGAGUUUUUUUGGCAACAAACAUUUGCAUUUUGGAGCUGCCCUCAUCUGUUGGGUAAACAUGAAAUUAUCAUCUUUGACUGGAACUGAUCCUCUGGAGCCAUGUUAUUCCACUGGGGAGAGGUAUUUUCACUGAUUUUCAAUGUGGAUUAUUUUUGUGACUGACUGUAAUGGUUUCUUUGGCGGUAUUAGGGCUUAUUAUGUCAGGAUUUAUUUCGGCAUGAAGUGAUUCAACGUGCUGUAGUCCUGUAACUUUCCUUUGCAUGCUGAAAUCCAAGAGGACAUCUUCUGCUUCCUCCAUGGGCACGAUGGAAACAACCUCUCUGCAGCUGGACCCGUCUCCCGAGGUCAGCUUUCCCCAAUUGCUUUGUAACUGCUAAAGGAGCAAAUUUAAGGGAACAGAUUUCCUGCAAAAGACAUGUAAAAACUCAUCUAGGUGAAAAAUCUAUAUAGAAAAGCCUCCUAGAAAGAGGAGGAGAGGACCACAAAGGAGAGAUUGCACCUUCAGAGGAGCAGUGCAGGCACCGGGAACUCCCCAGCAUUAGCAGAGGGGUUAGCAGCAGAAAAUGCAAGUGAGGAUUACAUGUGGAUUAUACUGCAGUGAUGCUGAAACAUUGUCAGUGCUGAGACAUCUAACAAAGGGCUUUAUUUCUUUAGGAGAAGAACUGCUGGACCCAAAGUAGUCCUAGACAUCACUCUUCAGGUGUUACUUGUGAUGAGGUGGUGAGGCAACGAGUAUAUUAGCUAAGGCAGUGUGUUGUGGCAUCUGGUACCUCUGGGAGACGUUGGCAAUGCAAACUGGUGGACCGGCUCCUCAAAGCCACAUGUGAUGUGGGAUUUUGGCAACCACUCCUCUGUCAAAUACUUCUCAUGCUCCACCAGAUAUCAGAAGAAAAGGUUCACUUAAAACCCUUCAGUGCUACUCUGUGCCAAGUAGAAAUGAAUUGGUAACACUGGCAUUAAACUGGUUGCCGUUCUCCUGGCUCCAUUACCAUCAUUAAAAUCAUCCAGGACCUUUGG